GGGCGGCAAGCAUCAGCAAUGGUGCUUAGAGCGGCGGAUGGUGAGUAACGCGUGGGUGACUGCCUUAAGGAUGGGGAUAGCCGUUAGAAAUAGCGGGUAAUACCGAAUGUGGUUGUCUGGCUGUGGCUGGGCAAAGAAAGGGGNUUUGGCCCCGCCUUGAGAUGGGCCCGCGUUCCAUUAGNUAGUUGGUGAGGUAAAGGCCCACCAAGGCGAUGAUGGGUAGCCGGCCUGAGAGGGUGAACGGCCACACUGGGACUGAGAUACGGCCCAGACUCCUACGGGAGGCAGCAGCUAAGAAUAUUCCGCAAUGGGCGAAAGCCUGACGGAGCGACGCCGCGUGGAUGAGGAAGGCCGAAAGGUUGUAAAAUCCUUUUGUUGCUGAAGAAUAAGCGGGGGAGGGAAUGCCCCCGUGAUGACGCAAGGCAAUGAAUAAGCCCCGGCUAAU
rnacentral:rRNA from 1 species